CGGGACACGUGGUAUCCUGUCUGAAUAUGGGGGGACCAUCCUCCAAGGCUAAAUACUCCUGACUGACCGAUAGUGAACCAGUACCGUGAGGGAAAGGCGAAAAGAACCCCGGCGAGGGGAGUGAAAAAGAACCUGAAACCGUGUACGUACAAGCAGUGGGAGCCUCUUUAUGGGGUGACUGCGUACCUUUUGUAUAAUGGGUCAGCGACUUAUAUUCUGUAGCAAGGUUAACCGAAUAGGGGAGCCGAAGGGAAACCGAGUCUUAACUGGGCGUUAAGUUGCAGGGUAUAGACCCGAAACCCGGUGAUCUAGCCAUGGGCAGGUUGAAGGUUGGGUAACACUAACUGGAGGACCGAACCGACUAAUGUUGAAAAAUUAGCGGAUGACUUGUGGCUGGGGGUGAAAGGCCAAUCAAACCGGGAGAUAGCUGGUUCUCCCCGAAAGCUAUUUAGGUAGCGCCUCGUGAAUUCAUCUCCGGGGGUAGAGCACUGUUUCGGCAAGGGGGUCAUCCCGACUUACCAACCCGAUGCAAACUGCGAAUACCGGAGAAUGUUAUCACGGGAGACACACGGCGGGUGCUAACGUCCGUCGUGAAGAGGGAAACAACCCAGACCGCCAGCUAAGGUCCCAAAGUCAUGGUUAAGUGGGAAACGAUGUGGGAAGGCCCAGACAGCCAGGAUGUUGGCUUAGAAGCAGCCAUCAUUUAAAGAAAGCGUAAUAGCUCACUGGUCGAGUCGGCCUGCGCGGAAGAUGUAACGGGGCUAAACCAUGCACCGAAGCUGCGGCAGCGACAUUAUGUGUUGUUGGGUAGGGGAGCGUUCUGUAAGCCUGUGAAGGUGUACUGUGAGGUAUGCUGGAGGUAUCAGAAGUGCGAAUGCUGACAUAAGUAACGAUAAAGCGGGUGAAAAGCCCGCUCGCCGGAAGACCAAGGGUUCCUGUCCAACGUUAAUCGGGGCAGGGUGAGUCGACCCC
rnacentral:rRNA from 1 species